GUGGUAAGGCAGCGGGUUUUGGUCCCGUUACUCGGAGGUUCGAAUCCUUCCGUCCCAGA
rnacentral:tRNA from 1 species